GACGAACUGUCCUAACGUUGUUCGGAAUCACUGGGCUUAAAGGGCGCGUAGGCGGUCCAUCAAGUCGGGGGUGAAAUCCUGCAGCUUAACUGUAGAAGUGCCUUCGAUACUGAUGGUCUGGAGGGAGAUAGGGGUGUGUGGAACUUCCAGUGGAGCGGUGAAAUGCGUUGAUAUUGGAAGGAACGCCGGAGGCGAAAGCGACGCACUGGAUCUCUUCUGACGCUGAGGCGCGAAAGCUAGGGGAGCAAACGGG
rnacentral:rRNA from 1 species